rnacentral:lncRNA from 1 species
CUUUAUAUUGAUUUUCAGGGUGGUAAUGACCAAGCAGGAGUCUGCAGUUGGUGGAAGACUUCCCGUCUAAGCCAUUUUCCAGACCUUAUCUUUGUGAACAUUGGUCCUACCUGGCCCUGGACUGAAGUUCCAAUAUUAGACUGUUUACAACUCAAACUAAUGACACGAAAAGCCCUUCUUUGCCUGCCUUCACUUACUUAACCAAACAUAACAGUCAUCAUUUGCCAACAACCAGCCACUUGUCUCAGAAGCCAUUUUCUUCUCUCCAUCGCCUGUGUUCUGUGAUUUUGAUGGAGCUGUACUUAUGACCUGGUCCUUCACAUACUUGGAGGCACAACUCAUAUCCUCCCUCCUCUGAGAAUCUUUCCCUGAUGACUCUUGUCCACGUGGAUGUGUCACCUUUUUUUUUUUUUGAGUACUUAAGAUCUGUACUGAACCUUAGGACAUCGGAGGUUGUUGUGUCUUGUUUUAUUCUUGUUUAUUUUGUAUGUUGAACUUAAUCUUCCCUUCAAGGACUAAGCCUUCUCAAGGAUUCCAACUAAAAAUGUGUACAACUUGGUAACCAGCAUCCGUGACGAG